GCCCCAUUAGCUCAGUAGGAUAGAGCACGGGAUUCCUAAUCCCGGUUAGCCCAGGUUCGAGUCCUGGAUGGGGCACCG
rnacentral:tRNA from 1 species